GCUAUUCCUGCACAUGUCAGUGAGGAUUGCUGGAUAGCAGAGCAUGGGGUGUCUUUCAAAGGAAAAAGCCAGUUUGAGUCUGUCAGAGGUGAUGGAUACCAGCAGUGGAAAGCGGAGAGCUGACUGCAUGAAGGACUUAGAUUGAAGAGAAUGCUGAGCUGCAGAGAUAACGGGAGCUGCAGGAGUAGAAAAUCAGCUUCAAAGAGCUCAGCCUCUUUUCAUCUCCCACAAACACUUCAGAUGAGCAGCUGAGAGAGGGAGGAAUGAAAUGUAACCUUGAUCAAAAUGAUGCAUGUUCAACUGGUGCAAUUUUAUUUGUGUGUGUGGCUUGCGUGUGUGCACUGCAUUGCAACAUAAGAUUCAUUUUAAGCAUUCAGUUACACUUUAAUGUGCGUUGAUGAAAAAUGACAGUUAUGGUGAUGCUGAUGUUUAUUAUAAUAAGAAUUAUAUUUUAGCUUUUUAUGUCAAACGUGUCAGCACCCUCAGAUUUUGAGCCAAGUAGUUUUUGAAUGCUUCAGGGGGGAAAUGCAUGUUUAGUGGUCAAGUUGCACAGAGAGAGAGAGAGAGAGAGAGAGAGAGAGAGCUCAUUCGCUUUAAAAGAAAAAGAUUUUUUCCCCACAAUAA